UACGUAGGUGGCGAGCGUUGUCCGGAUUUACUGGGCGUAAAGAGCGCGUAGGCGGUCAGCACAAGUCAGUUGUGAAAUCUCCGGGCUUAACUCGGAAAGGUCAACUGAUACUGUGCGACUAGAGUGCAGAAGGGGCAACUGGAAUUCUCGGUGUAGCGGUGAAAUGCGUAGAUAUCGAGAGGAACACCUGCGGCGAAGGCGGGUUGCUGGGCUGACACUGACGCUGAUGCGCGAAAGCCAGGGGAGCGAACGGG
rnacentral:rRNA from 1 species